rnacentral:rRNA from 1 species
UACGUAGGGUGCAAGCGUUAAUCGGAAUUACUGGGCGUAAAGCGUGCGCAGGCGGUUAUGUAAGACAGAUGUGAAAUGCCCGGGCUUAACCUGGGAACUGCAUUUGUGACUGCAUGGCUAGAGUGUGUCAGAGGGGGGUAGAAUUCCACGUGUAGCAGUGAAAUGCGUAGAUAUGUGGAGGAAUACCGAUGACGAAGGCAGCCCCCUGGGAUAACACUGACGCUCAUGCACGAAAGCGUGGGGAGCAAACAGG